rnacentral:rRNA from 2 species
AUUGAACGCUGGCGGCAUGCCUUACACAUGCAAGUCGAACGGCAGCACGGGUGCUUGCACCUGGUGGCGAGUGGCGAACGGGUGAGUAAUACAUCGGAACAUGUCCUGUAGUGGGGGAUAGCCCGGCGAAAGCCGGAUUAAUACCGCAUACGAUCYACGGAUGAAAGCGGGGGACCUUCGGGCCUCGCGCUAUAGGGUUGGCCGAUGGCUGAUUAGCUAGUUGGUGGGGUAAAGGCCUACCAAGGCGACGAUCAGUAGCUGGUCUGAGAGGACGACCAGCCACACUGGGACUGAGACACGGCCCAGACUCCUACGGGAGGCAGCAGUGGGGAAUUUUGGACAAUGGGCGAAAGCCUGAUCCAGCAAUGCCGCGUGUGUGAAGAAGGCCUUCGGGUUGUAAAGCACUUUUGUCCGGAAAGAAAUCCUUGGCUCUAAUACAGUCGGGGGAUGACGGUACCGGAAGAAUAAGCACCGGCUAACUACGUGCCAGCAGCCGCGGUAAUACGUAGGGUGCGAGCGUUAAUCGGAAUUACUGGGCGUAAAGCGUGCGCAGGCGGUCUGUUAAGACAGAUGUGAAAUCCCCGGGCUCAACCUGGGAACUGCAUUUGUGACUGGCAGGCUAGAGUAUGGCAGAGGGGGGUAGAAUUCCACGUGUAGCAGUGAAAUGCGUAGAGAUGUGGAGGAAUACCGAUGGCGAAGGCAGCCCCCUGGGCCAAUACUGACGCUCAUGCACGAAAGCGUGGGGAGCAAACAGGAUUAGAUACCCUGGUAGUCCACGCCCUAAACGAUGUCAACUAGUUGUUGGGGAUUCAUUUCCUUAGUAACGUAGCUAACGCGUGAAGUUGACCGCCUGGGGAGUACGGUCGCAAGAUUAAAACUCAAAGGAAUUGACGGGGACCCGCACAAGCGGUGGAUGAUGUGGAUUAAUUCGAUGCAACGCGAAAAACCUUACCUACCCUUGACAUGGUCGGAAUCCUGAAGAGAUUCGGGAGUGCUCGAAAGAGAACCGGCGCACAGGUGCUGCAUGGCUGUCGUCAGCUCGUGUCGUGAGAUGUUGGGUUAAGUCCCGCAACGAGCGCAACCCUUGUCCUUAGUUGCUACGCAAGAGCACUCUAAGGAGACUGCCGGUGACAAACCGGAGGAAGGUGGGGAUGACGUCAAGUCCUCAUGGCCCUUAUGGGUAGGGCUUCACACGUCAUACAAUGGUCGGAACAGAGGGUUGCCAACCCGCGAGGGGGAGCUAAUCCCAGAAAACCGAUCGUAGUCCGGAUUGCACUCUGCAACUCGAGUGCAUGAAGCUGGAAUCGCUAGUAAUCGCGGAUCAGCAUGCCGCGGUGAAUACGU